rnacentral:rRNA from 1 species
AUUGAACGCUGGCGGCAGGCCUAACACAUGCAAGUCGAGCGGAUGAUGGGAGCUUGCUCCUUGAUUCAGCGGCGGACGGGUGAGUAAUGCCUAGGAAUCUGCCUGGUAGUGGGGGACAACGUUUCGAAAGGAACGCUAAUACCGCAUACGUCCUACGGGAGAAAGCAGGGGACCUUCGGGCCUUGCGCUAUCAGAUGAGCCUAGGUCGGAUUAGCUAGUUGGUGGGGUAAUGGCUCACCAAGGCGACGAUCCGUAACUGGUCUGAGAGGAUGAUCAGUCACACUGGAACUGAGACACGGUCCAGACUCCUACGGGAGGCAGCAGUGGGGAAUAUUGGACAAUGGGCGAAAGCCUGAUCCAGCCAUGCCGCGUGUGUGAAGAAGGUCUUCGGAUUGUAAAGCACCUUAAGUUGGGAGGAAGGGCAGUAAGCUAAUACCUUGCUGUUUUGACGUUACCGACAGAAUAAGCACCGGCUAACUCUGUGCCAGCCGCCGCAGUAA